rnacentral:lncRNA from 1 species
AGUGCUCAAGUGUCUUAGCUUUCCAAAGCUUCAAAAGCUCUUCAACUUCUUCUUAUAAUCUUCUUGUUCAUCUCUACAAGUAAGAAGUGUUGUUUGCUUUAAUAUUCCACUCCUCUAAUCACCUCUUGUGUGUGUCCACUUUGGUUGAAAGGGUUGUCUCAAUAGUACCAAAGUGUGAGAGAAGGUUUUUGAGCUCAACCAUAAAGCUCUAGUUUGGUUUUAUAGAGUUUCCGGGGAAACUUUUAGGUCAAAUCUACCUUGAAAGAUUUAGAGGCUUUUAAAAGUUUCUUGAUACUCUAAGGUACUAACUUACCCGUAAAAGUUAGAGGUUCUUAAGAGUGCCCUUUAUACUUUAAGGUGCGAGUCUACCCGUAAAAGACUGGUUCCUAAGCGAAGUAGUCUUAAAGCUUAGAGAGGUUCUUAAAAGUUUCUUUGAUACUCUAUGGUUUUGCCAUAACCUUUAGACUAGUGAAUUCCGACAGUUGGUCGGGACUGGAUUAGCCCUUGUUUGGGUGAACCAGUAUAAAUUCUCUUGUGUUGUUCUUUGUUAACUUUAGUUUUUAUUUUUCAUCUAAAAACAACUAAACAACACUUAAUUGAAAAGGAUCUCUCUUCCAGUUAUCUGGUCAAAUACAGAGGUUGACUACUUUACGCAAAUCCCUCAUCCAGUUAUUUGGUCAACUAUCUGAGGUUAUAUUCAUUGCUUUAAAUCUUUACUCAGAUAUUUGUUCAAGCAUUUACUUAUAAAAUAUAUAUCUAGUUAUCUG